rnacentral:rRNA from 1 species
UACGUAGGGUGCGAGCGUUAAUCGGAAUUACUGGGCGUAAAGCGUGCGCAGGCGGUUUGUUAAGACAGAUGUGAAAUCCCCGGGCUUAACCUGGGAACUGCAUUUGUGACUGGCAAGCUAGAGUAUGGCAGAGGGGGGGUAGAAUUCCACGUGUAGCAGUGAAAUGCGUAGAGAUGUGGAGGAAUACCGAUGGCGAAGGCAGCCCCCCUGGGCCAAUACUGACGCUCAUGCACGAAAGCGUGGGGAGCAA